GCUGGACGAGCAUGUUAAACCAUCUGAUUGCUGUUAACAACCUGGAGCCGGUGAUGGAGAAGAACGGGCUGGUACUGCGAGAGGACCUCUUCUUCAUCGAGGAGCUGAUCUUUGGGAAAAAGACCGACCCUGAUCAUCCAAAAAUAGAGGUGUGCACAUUGAGGGUGCACUCACACUAGGCCAUCUGUGCCAAGCCAAAGUCUGUUUGACAACUGUACCGUACUCAGAGUUGGGUACCUGGCUGGAAAGAAUGCAAAAUCUUUGAAAGAGAAACAGCCUUAACUGAAUAUCGAUGACAGAGACAUCCUCUGUGUGCAAAUCGCUGGCCUCUGCCAUGAUCUGUGACACAGACCUUUCUCUCAUCUGUUUGAUGGGAUGUUCAUUCCUGAAGCACGUCCAGCAUCCACAUGGACGGUACUGAAGGAUCUCCCCCUGCUUUACCCCAAAUUCCCCUCGCUGUUUGUUCCAAGACAUUUCAAAGACCAUUAUCUGGCACUACACUAAAACAAGCAAAGCGUCUGGCCUAACGUUCCUGAACUACUACCUUCUAUUCACAGCCUCAGGAUUCCAACCCAAAAACUUUGAGCGUUCAGAAAGAAAAACAAAAUGUCACCUCAGUUUACAAAGUACAACUUAAAAUGCAAAAAAUGCUGAGAUUUUUUAAGAGAAGAGGAAUGAGUGGAAGAGAGCACGAUUUGGUAAAUAUACAACCCUCUGUCAAAACACAGCCUCCCUCUCAGCUCCCUUCAUAAUUUUUCUGCCAUUUAAAGGAUAACACCAUGGGUGCAGAUGUGAUUGACAGGCAAUAGGAAUCCAGAAUCAAUCAGGAAAGGUCCAUGAAUUGUUUAAAAUCUAAAAUGCUUAUAGCUGGUGGAUAACUAUGCCAUUUGUCAAAGAUUAUACUGAAUUUAUAGCUCUUAAA